UAGUUUGAAAAAUGCAGAGUUGGGCAGAGGUCUUACAAGUAAUGUCCAGGUUUGUACUCAACUUCUGUAAUAUGUAACAUAGCCACUUGAAGCUCAGGAAAAAUAACUGAAAGGAUAAAAAAACAGGUAAAAAUGAUAAUUUGUAAAACAAGAUUUAAUGAGCGCAUACAAUGGAAAGAGUUUAUCAGCAAAUAUCCAAGGACAUUCCUAGCUUUCCACACUAAAUAGAAAUCAUGCGGUACUUUUUCCUGAAAUAUGGUGACAUGUAUGGCAGAUAAUAAGCAAUGAGGACCUCGAAGAUCUCCGUGAGAUGGGAUCCGGUGCAUUCGGAAUGGUUUUCCAUGGAAAAUGGAAGGGGAGUGACGUUGCUAUUAAACGGAUAAAGAAUAGCUGCUUUAUGUUACCAUCAUCUCAAGCAGAUAAGCUGGUAAGCCUCUAUAAUUCACCAGCAUUUUUUGAGGGCACAGCCGGUCUUGUCCAUAGUCAGUUUAAGAGGUAUAACCUAUAGGUUUGUACUCUAAGUAAUCAAACCCUGUAUCAUGUUAUGUACUGAUGUUUCAUAUUGUUAUCUGAUGAACCAAGAAAUAACAGAUCACUGAUUCCAUUCUCCUCUAAACAACCUAAACUGCAUGUUAUUGGACAUGAACCAUACAGGACAAGCAGUCAGCUGCUAUGUUUGGCCGCAAAUAUUAGCUAAUAUGGGAUCAAAGCAACAACUGUAGCAGCCACAGAGUUAUUAUCUUGAUACAGGAUUCAGAAUCAGAUAUUUUAUAUAGAAAUUACUCUCACUAAAUGUUAAUCAAAAGAACACAAGGACUGUUGCUUUAUCCAUCAUAAGAAAUACAACAUGUGCAAACAUGCAGAUUACAGAAUUUUGGAGAGAAGCAGCCAUCAUCUCGAAACUUCACCACCCAAACAUUCUGGCAUUUUAUGGAGUUGUAAAUAACGGACCUGGGGCAACAUUAGCUACUGUAACAGAAUUCAUGGUCAAUGGAUCUCUCAAGAAAGUCCUCCUUCGCAAGGACAAGUAUCUUGAUUGGCGCAAACGGAUAAUGCUUGCAAUGGAUGCAGCCAUUGGGAUGGAGUACUUGCACUCCAAGGACAUUGUCCACUUUGAUUUGAAAUGUGAUAACUUGCUAGUGAAUGUUAAGGAUCCAUCUCGUCCCAUUUGCAAGGUAAGUUACAACACAACUCAGUAAAAUUUGUUUCAUCUCAAAUUCUAAAUGCAUUGCUGACAAAAGAUAAGUUCAGUAUGGUAUGAAAGCUGAAAUUUAGCAUAAAGCUGGAGUUGAUGCACAUAACAGAGAAUCAAUUACUACAGGUUGCUGAUUUUGGCUUAUCGAAGAUGAAACAAGCCACCCUUGUUUCUGGUGGAAUGAGAGGAACACUUCCAUGGAUGGCCCCGGAGUUGCUGACAAUGAGUGGCACUAAAGUAUCUGAAAAGGUACUGUUCUGAAUCUUUGAUAUAGUUAGCCUAACAGCAAGAAAUCACCAAAAUUUAAGUUUCCCAGUGCAAAGUUGCAGACAGAAAUAAUAAGGUGAAUUGCUUGGUUCCUACUUGGACGUUCUUUUUUCUAAUUGCUAGACCAAAUACAUGUUUUUUUGUGUUGGCACAGAUUGAUGUCUAUUCUUUUGGCAUUGUAAUGUGGGAAAUUCUCACGGGCGAGGAUCCAUAUGAUGGCAUGCACUAUGGAGGAGUGAUAGGUAUGUUAAGAUGAAACCUUCCUUCUGAACAAGGACACCAUACCUUUGUUGCUGACAGCAUCCUAUGUAUGAGUAUGAGUGAUUUGCUUGACGCAAAUUUAAAAUAUGGACUUUCAAAGCAACUUGAUGUCACACAGGCCACAACCACAGCAUUCAAUGUGGACAACAGCUAUUGAUUUCACACAACUAGAAGCUUUUUGAAAGUUUUUAUAUGCCACUUGCUAUCUCAUUUCAUAGAUUACUGAUGCUCACAUUAUCACACAACCAAAGGAAUAGCAUAUAUCCAUUAUAUUAUAUCCAUAAAGCCAGAACGACGCAUUAACACUCCCUCAUAUAAAUUUCCUCUCACUCCAUUCUAUAUUUCACUUGACUGAGAAGCCCAGGUAGGUGAAAUGUUGUGCCUUGACCAGUUUGAUUUCCAAAAUCAUCUAAGUUAUCAUAAAGAACUUCCAGGGAAUAUUUUUGUCUGGGUUGUCAAUGAUGCCAAAGAUAGCUUGGAUUAUGUCCUAGUUUUUAGGAGUCAACUAACUUGCCAGUUCCAGGCCUAGUGUUGAAAACUAGCAACCUUAUUGCCAUUGCUGGAUUCAAGAAAUUGAAUGAGACAAUAUACAACUUUGCAUAUUUUUCUGGAUGCAUUCCCAUACAGAUAAUGAUGGUGUCUAAGGAUACAGAAUCAUGUACCAUACCUUUUGUCUGCUUCAGUAACAGCAACUGCUGAUCUGUGGCAUGCAGGGGGUAUUUUGAGCAACACACUACGACCACCAGUGCCAACUUCAUGUGACCCAGAAUGGAGGAAACUGAUGGAGCAAUGCUGGUCAACUGAACCUGAGAGAAGGCCUACCUUCACCGAAGUUGCA
rnacentral:lncRNA from 1 species